rnacentral:rRNA from 1 species
UGUGGCCAUACCACCCUGAAUGCGCCUGAUCUUGGAAGCUAAGCAGGGUUGGGCCUGCUUAGUACUUGGAUGGGAGACCACUUGGUUGUGUCUAGUUGGCCAUCU